CACCGCCUGCAACGCUUCCGGGGUCGCCGAGUGACCAUUUCCGGGGCAUGUUGCCACGGAGACGGCGCAUUGCUCCUCCAGGGUAAAGUGACGAGCCUUGCCCCUUGGCACAUUUAUUUAUUUAUAAUGGAUAAUUUUAAUUGGAUCUCCAUGGAUCCCCAGCAUCACAGAUGCCAGUGUUUACCCAGUGUGAUUCAAUCUAUGUGCUAUCAAGAAACAUCCGGAGGCACUGUAUACAGCAGAGACUAUGAACCCUGACAACAUUCUGGCAAUAAUAUUGAAGAUGAGUGCACAGUGAGCCAAGCUGUUCUAGUACAGUUACAACACUGGUAUCUACCCAACAAUGUGGAAAAUUGCCCAGGUAUGUCCCAUACACAAACAGCACGACAAAUUCAACCCAACCAGUUACAAGCUCAAUAGUGUAAUGUUGAUCAUCGGUAAAGGAACAGAAGAUGUCAUGACAAGAUGUUUGUCAUCAAGCAGCACUUGCUUAGCAGUAACCCGCUCAGUGAUACCCAGUUUGUGUUCUGCCAGGUAUACUCAGCUCCAGAACUCCUUACAGCCUUUGGUCAAACAUGAACAAAAGAACUGAAUUUGUGAGGUGAGAUGAGAGUAACGGCCCUUGACAUCAAGAUUGCAUUUGACUAAGUGUGUCAUCGGAAGCCUUAGAAAAAUUUAAGUCACUUAGAAUCAAGGGAAAGCUCUACUGGUUGGAGUCAUACCUGGCACAAAGGAAGAUGAUUGUUCUUGAUGGAGGUCAGUCAUCUAAACUCGACAACAUCUUUGCAGGAGUUCCUGAGGGAAGUGUUACUGGCCCAAAUAAUUCCAACUGCUUCAUUAAGAACCUUUCUUCCAUUAUAAGGUCAGAAGUUGGGAAGGCACAAUCAUCACUGAACAAUGUUCAGCACCAUUCACAACUCCUUCAAUACUAAAGCAUCUGUAUCCACAUGCAGCAAGACCUGGACAAUAUCUAACAAUGGCUGACAAAUGAUGCUGCCAGACCUGCUGUGCAUCUCCAAUAAGUUCUGUUUUUGUUUGAGAAAGACAGUGGUGUGUCACCUGUUGGGUGUCAAGGAAGCUUCGAGGAAAAGAAGGACUUCACCAGGAGAAACAGACUGUAAACUAAACUGAAAUUGGUAGUCUCCUGUAAUCUGACAGGUAGUGACCAUGACAUGAGAAAAGAGCAGUCUGGGUGUCAUGCAUGUUUUUAUAUUCUUCUUUCCAAGUAUACACCAGAAGCGUGGUUAAAAGUCAAUUUCAACCCUUGUCUGCAGUUUCAAGUUUAUGAAGAUGUCUGCUUGAGACUCACAGCUGAGAAAACCACUAGUCUUCCUUGCACUGCAAGGAAAAAGUGAGUAAGUGUCUAUCUCUGCUUGAAGCCAGAAAGCAAGUGAGACUGCAUUCAAAAGGAAACAGGACGAAGGCCUUCCAGCUGACCUGCAAAGCCAAGCAGUUCAAAAUCACCCGCUCACCCAGCAAUAUCAGCGCUAUUUGUAUCACCCAAUGUAAUGGCUGUGACAUCUCAUUGUCUUCUCAUUGUGAAACUCAGAGACUGAUUCAUAAGUCUGUUAAAGUUUUUUUACUUUUUUGAACACAUUUCUCAUUUCUGUUGUGUGUAUAUGUUUCUUUCUUUAUUCUUCUUAUGUUUAAUAAAUAAUUAAGUCACUCAUUAUCUCAAGAAAGCACUAUAAAAUUGGCUCCUUUUAAAGUAUAAGUUCACUUUGUGAGACAAGCAUCCACAAAGAAAGAAUCCUUAAAAAUUAACAUUGUUGUGGCCAACUGAGGGAGUGGGUGAAUAAAAAAAGGACCCUGUUCAUCCCUCCUCACCAGGAGUUUGACAGUUUGGGGCAUCCUAUCUAGAAUUUUUAUAAGAUGUAGUUCCUCACCUUGGACUGAUUAUGUCAGUCCUAGCUCCUGAGAGCUAAAGAGUAAACAAUGUGACUGUUUUUAUUGGAAGUGCUAGAAAUUAAAGGUAAAGGAAGCACAGUAUGUUAGUGAUGGCAACCUUGGAUUUUAAGUAUACCGUAUGGAUACAGCCAUCUGUUACAAAUACUUAGACUACCCUCAUUCAACUGAUUCAUGAAUAACUCUUAGGUUUUUGACUCCAUUUUCCCAAUCAUUAUUCAUUUAAGCAUUUUCUUGUUGUCCCAACCAGUAUGUAUUCCUGAAACAACAUCACUGAAACCAAUUAUCCAAUUACUUAUCUCCUUUCUGCUUAGAAGACUGUUCUGUAUUCAAAUUGACUGUAAUGCUUCCCCAUGUUACAACAGCAACUGGUUGCGUUUCAACAAAAAAAAUGGCUUGAGACAUCCUGAGGUGGUGCACAUUCCUUCUUUCAGAUAUUUUUCAUUAAGAUUAUCUUUUCCCCAUGUGAAAUUAUAAUGAUGCAUUUCAAGGUGAUGUGGACUAAACAAACUUGAUAUCCUUUUAUUUCACUUAGCGUUACUUGGCCUGAGCAAAAGGAGAAGAGGUACUUGAGGAUUCUUACUGUAAAUCUAUAAUCUGUAGGUAUGAGAUCAAUAUCUGUGCCAGAUGCUGAAAAGAAAGAGAAUGCAGAAAUUAUUUCUACAAAGAUAGAUGUAGUAAAGUGCACAAAAUUACAAUAAAUAGAUAAUCUCUAUCUCACGUUGUUUGUUUCAUAUCUCCUUGAUUUGGUUAUCAAUUAAAACAUGUUUUAAUUGUCAUCUUGAAAGUUUUGAUAAUCCAACAUCCUCAGGAUUUUGGGCAAGGAAUUUUACAGUGAAAUUGUAUAUAUGCUUCCCAUAUUCACUUUUUAAAUGAUCUAGUUCUGAUUUUAACCUGUCUCUUCAUGUUUAAACUAGUUUGUCCCUAUUUACGUCAUUAAUUUCUUUAUUGUUUUUAAUCAUUCAAUUAAAUCAUUCCUAAAUUCAAGAUGAUUCAAGCUGAGUUUCAGAGACCUGUCACUGUAUAGUAAGGAUUUCAUCCUGAUGAACCUGUAUGACACUUCUUUCCAACACGUAUAUCCUUCCUGAGUUGAUGUCCCUAAAAUUGUGUGUAGUAUUUUGGAUGGAGAGAUUUAUAGAGGGAAUUUCAGUAUUGAGUACAGAGUGUGCAGCUGAAAGCAUGUGAAGCAUUACAAUGGUAUGAAGUGAGGGGCAAGGCAUGAGGCGCCAAAAGCAGAAGAACACUGAACUCUAGGAGGUUUGUGGGCUACAGGAGCUUUGAGAGAUAGUGAAUGAUACAGCUAUUGGAAAAUUAAAUAUGAAAGUGAGAAUUUUAAAGUGAAGUUGUGGGGGUCCAGCAGCCAGUCACGGAUUGACAGUCAGGGAGUGAUGGAUGAAUGAGGCCUGAUGUGGGACAAAUAUGUGAGUAUUAGAAUUUCUACUUUUUAAAAAUAUACUGUUAUUGAUUUACUAUUUUCCACAUUUCUGAUUGUUAAGUUUGGAAGAGACAAUUGCACAUUUGCGUGUUUCAACAGCAGAUGAGCUCAUGAAGGGGUGGACAUAAGAAAUCUUCUGGAAGUGGAUAGAGAUUGUCUUUGUCUUUUUCAAUUAAAAAGUUACAUAGUUAGAUGUUCAGCUUAGGAUUUUGUAAGAUGCUAAGUCUGGUUCAAUCCAAGAGCGUGACCAGUAAAUGGAUGGCAAGUUGGCAAGAGUCAAGAGUUUGUGGUCAGGGCACUUGGGGCAAGUCCUGGAGAGGGGGAGGCAGAUCAGGACAGAGUGGAAGAAGGGGAUGCUGUUGUGGGGUGAGGCAAAUUGAUUCCAGAGCAUAAUAAGGGGCAGCUGAAAGUCUGGAGAGGGGCAACAGGCUGUACAGGUCUGAAGAACAGAAGGGAUUGGUCUACAGCAGUGGAAGUGUGGGAUGGCAGGUCCCUGGCAGGGUUGGGUAGGCAGAUUGGAUUGAGAGUGGGGUAAGGGGACACUGGGCCUGGAAUAGGAAA